GUUUUGAUCCUGGCUCAGGACGAACGCUGGCGGCGUGCCUAAUACAUGCAAGUCGAGCGGACAGAUGGGAGCUUGCUCCCUGAUGUUAGCGGCGGAAGAAAGAGUAACACGUGGGUAACCUGCCUGUAAGACUGGGAUAACUCCGGGAAACCGGGGCUAAUCCCCCGAUGGUUGUUUGAACCGCAUGGUUCAAACAUAAAAGGUGGCUUCGGCUACCACUUACAGAUGGACCCGCGGCGCAUUAGCUAGUUGGUGAGGUAACGGCUCACCAAGGCAACGAUGCGUAGCCGACCUGAGAGGGUGAUCGGCCACACUGGGACUGAGACACGGCCCAGACUCCUACGGGAGGCAGCAGUAGGGAAUCUUCCGCAAUGGAC
rnacentral:rRNA from 1 species